UACGUAGGGGGCGAGCGUUGUCCGGAAUUAUUGGGCGUAAAGAGCGUGUAGGCGGUUCGGUAAGUCUGCUGUGAAAUCCUGGGGCUCAACCCCGGGCGUGCAGCGGAUACUGCCGGGCUAGAGGGUGGUAGAGGCGAGUGGAAUUCCGAGUGUAGCGGUGAAAUGCGCAGAUAUCGGGAGGAACACCAGUAGCGAAGGCGGCUCGCUGGGCCGUUCCUGACGCUGAGACGCGAAAGCUAGGGGAGCGAACAGG
rnacentral:rRNA from 1 species